UUACUCACUUCAUAAUUUUCUUCCGUCAAAGGUAAUGCUGUCGCAGCGGUAAUGUUGUUACCGCUUUAGAAAUUUCACGGCAGGUAACGCAUUACUGGUGUGACAGCAUUACCUAUGGAUACGGAAUUUCAGUUAUAUUUAAGGAUUUGCAGUGGUUCGACUGGAGACAGUGGAUCGUUGGCCCUUCAACCUCCUCAAGGGGACACGCGCCACCGUUCAUCGAGGAUCUCUCUACCCUUUUGGUUGCUUCAGACCUAGAGUUGUUCUCUGUGAUCAGAAGGUUUUUUAUGUUUCUUUUUCUUUUUCUUUUUCUUGGAUCUUCUUGUUACCAACGUUUGUUUGGAAAUACACGAUCUGUAAUUUUUGUUCGUUCUAGUUAGAAAUCCAAUUUUCGGAUGUAAAAGAGAGAGCGAGAAAAUGAAAGAAUUUGUUAAAAACUAUGGUUUUAUCCGUCUCUGGAUGCGCCGGUGACUCCUUCAAAUAAACUAACAAUAUGUUAUUCCGGC